GAUGAACGCUGGCGGCGUGCUUAACGCAUGCAAGUCGAACGAGAAGUGAAGACGGAAACCUUCGGGCGGAAGGCUUUAUUUCGAGUGGCGGACGGGUGAGUAACGCGUGGGUAACCUGCCUCAUACAGGGGGAUAACAGUUGGAAACGACUGUUAAUACCGCAUAAGACCACAGCACCGCAUGGUGCGGGGGUAAAAACUCCGGUGGUAUGAGAUGGACCCGCGUUCGAUUAGCCAGUUGGCGGGGUAACGGCCCACCAAAGCGACGAUCGAUAGCCGAUCUGAGAGGAUGACCGGCCACAUUGGGACUGAGACACGGCCCAAACUCCUACGGGAGGCAGCAGUGGGGAAUAUUGCACAAUGGGGGAAACCCUGAUGCAGCGACGCCGCGUGAGUGAAGAAGUAUUUCGGUAUGUAAAGCUCUAUCAGCAGGGAAGAAAAUGACGGUACCUGAGUAAGAAGCCCCGGCUAACUACGCG
rnacentral:rRNA from 1 species